rnacentral:rRNA from 1 species
UGGGGAAUAUUGGACAAUGGGGGCAACCCUGAUCCAGCCAUGCCGCGUGUGUGAAGAAGGCCUUUUGGUUGUAAAGCACUUUAAGCAGUGAAGAAGACUCCAUGGUUAAUACCCAUGGACGAUGACAUUAGCUGCAGAAUAAGCACCGGCUAACUCUGUGCCAGCAGCCGCGUUAAUACAGAGGGUGCAAGCGUUAAUCGGAAUUACUGGGCGUAAAGCGAGCGUAGGUGGCUUGAUAAGUCAGAUGUGAAAGCCCCGGGCUUAACCUGGGAACGGCAUCUGAUACUGUUAGGCUAGAGUAGGUGAGAGGAAGGUAGAAUUCCAGGUGUAGCGGUGAAAUGCGUAGAGAUCUGGAGGAAUACCGAUGGCGAAGGCAGCCUUCUGGCAUCAUACUGACACUGAGGUUCGAAAGCGUGGGUAGCAAACA